CAGCAGCGCGGGAACACGGAGGGGGCUAGCGUUGUUCGGAAUUACUGGGCGUAAAGCGCACGUAGGCGGCUUGGUAAGUUAGAGGUGAAAGCCCGGAGCUCAACUCCGGAAUUGCCUUUAAGACUGCCGAGCUAGUAGGUGAGAGAGGUAAGUGAAUUCCGAGUGUAGAGGUGAAAUUCGUAGAUAUUCGGAAGAACACCAGUGGCGAAGGCGGCUUACUGGCUCAUUCUAGACGCUGAGGUGCGAAAGCGUGGGGAGCAAACAGGAUUAGAUACCCGCGUAGUCCCUGUCUCUUAUACAC
rnacentral:rRNA from 1 species